UAGUGGAAGGUUUCAUGUCCUAGUGGAAGGUUUCAUGUUCUAGUGGAAGGUUUCAUGUCCUAGUGGAAGGUUUCAUGUUCUAGUGGAAGGUUUCAUGUCCU